AGCGACUGUGCAGGUUACCGCGGCUGCUGGCACGGAGUUAGCCGGUGCUUCUUCUGCGAGUAACGUCACAGCUAGCAGGUAUUAACUACUAACCUUUCCUCCUCGCUGAAAGUGCUUUACAACCCGAAGGCCUUCUUCACACACGCGGCAUGGCUGCAUCAGGGUUUCCCCCAUUGUGCAAUAUUCCCCACUGCUGCCUCCCGUAGGAGUCUGGGCCGUGUCUCAGUCCCCAGUGUGGCUGAUCAUCCUCUCAGACCAGCUAGGGAUCGUUGCCUAGGUGAGCCAUUACCUCACCUACUAGCUAAUCCCACCUGGGCUUAUCCAUCAGCGCAAGGACCGAAGUUCCCCCUGCUUUCCCCCGGUAGGGCGUAUGCGGUAUUAGCAGUCGUUUCCAACUGUUAUCCCCCACAAUGGGCAAAUUCCCAGGCAUUACUCACCCGUCCGCCGCUCGUCAUCUUCAAAAGCAAGCUUUUGAAAUGUUACCGCUCGACUUGCAUGUGUUAGGCCUGCCGCCAGCGUUC
rnacentral:rRNA from 1 species